UGUGUGUGUGUGAAACACCUAGGGAGUUUUGAAGGAGUAAUGCACGAGUCUAGCUAGGUUCACAGUUUGCUUUAGAAUAAAAGGAUAUAUUGAGUAGAGUACAACAUGAUGCUUCGGGCAUAGAAUUUAAUGCAAGGAUUACUAGAAGGAUAUCUGGCACCAGUAUCAAGGCAGCAUCAAUUACUGCUGCUCAACCAGCUUGUGUGUGAUACGCCAAAUUUCUUCCAAGACAACUUGUAACAGAGUUAGCUACAAACAUUCUUGCAGGUUGUCGUAGUAACGUAGAAGCUAAAUAAACUAUCAUCUCAUGUUCUUCAUUGGGCAAUAAUGCAAUUAACUCACCAUCUAACCACCAAUGUGUGAAUUUCUGCGGAAAUCCCGAGAGAUUGUUUAGGGAGUAUGACAAAUUACCUAUGCCAAACAUUCGUGCUAUGGCAUUGACCAGAUCCUGUGGCACGUACACACUAAGUGUCUGAUAAAGCGAAUAGGCUCUCUAACUUAUAACAAAACAAACCUAUAAGAGGCCAAAAGUGCUGUUCAUAGCUAACUGAUUUACUACAUUACAGCCACCGUUUAUUGAUUGAUCGACUGUGCUUAAGGUAGUAAAGCAACACCGGGGAUAUGAUAAAG
rnacentral:lncRNA from 1 species